rnacentral:lncRNA from 1 species
UCGGUUCUACUCGCACGAGUGGACGUCAGAUCGCGCAAGUGGGAAGGUCCCCGAUGGUAAGAACUUGUUCUAUUCCUGCUGCUAUCAACCUGUUUGUUCAUAUGCUUAUAAGAAAUGAAAUAUCCUUUUUGAUAUUUCUUUGUGCCAAAUAAAAAGCUAAUAUUUAUGGACAUGUCCAGUAUAAACAUUUUUUAUGGGGUAGUACACAUUUUUAAACUUUUAUAUAAUUGCAAAAAAAGGAAUUCUCAUUUCCAUAAACCUGGAAAAAAACAUCUACUUGUAGUGAUAGUUUUGGUUCUAGUCCUUAUGGCCCGGUUCAAGUAAGUAUGUCGCCCCCGCGUUUUGGUUUCUUGUUAUCUCUCCUGAAUGCUUUUGAAGAGCUUUAAUUGUUUUUAGUUCAUCUUUUGAAUGCUUUUCAGUACAUCUACUUACCAAUCGUAAGUCCAGUUUCCUUUGUGUUUCCAUGUUAUUUCUAUAGCACAACAGGUGUGUGUGGUUAUGUUAAUGAGCGCAUGUAACAAAGUUUAUUUUGUAAGUUCAGAGAAGCAACGAGGUAAAAGAAAAAACACUAAAACCACACAAUUCUUGUAAAGAUAUCUGAAAGUUCAACAAUAAAAAUUAUAUAAGUUUAGUCUCAAGUAGAGAGAAGUUGCUGCAUCACUCUCUGUCCGUGGAUGCUCGUGUGCUAUAGUUGCUUUCUCCCCUUCCUGUACAUGCUGCUACUCGCAUUUUUAUCUCUCUGAUGCGUUGUGUUGCACUAAUGCAGCUCGAACUAGGAGGUGCUAGCUCAUGCUGGCUGGAACUAGGAUGCAAAAGGGUUGACGCAUCCUUGCCGCACAAGCACCGGUGCUCUACUUUCUUCUUACUUUGUGUUCUAAUUUGCUUUCUUCUUAUUUUCAGUUCGCGAGGUACAAAAAGAAGUUAAAAAAAUGUUCUGCCUGGAGUUCAUAUUAUUUGCUACCCCGUGAUGUACGUCUAUAGUUUCUCCCUCCAAAUGUGCUGAUCGAUGUGGUUGUAUUUUCUGUCUUUCUCCCUCCAAAUGUAUGCAAGUACAGAAGUUGCACUCAAACAGAAGUUUGUUUUAGUGAGAAAAAUUCAUACUGUCUUCUAUAACUCAUUUCACUUCACGGUUUCUUCACCUGUUUGUUGUUUCCUAUUUAUUCUAGUUCCUAAGUGUUCUACUCAACUUCAGCGCCAUGCUCAGUCCAACCCCGUGGCUUCAGGGUGGCCCAAUUGGCGCGUGUGUGCGUGUUGUAGGCUUGUCAUGUGCGUCCGCUGGUCCAUGCAUGGGCACCUCCUGUGGCAUGCGAGCAUGUGUGCUGAUGUUGAUAGCUAAACUAAAUGGUUUCCAAGAUAUGUAUUGCAAGGAAAAAUUCAUCAGUACUGGUGUGCCCUGUAUGCGGAUAAGUCCUGUAGGCUGCAACUACAUUCCUUCCAUGUAUGGUCCUCCUCACCAGAUGUUAUGAAGAAUACAUCUUUCUAAUACAAACUUUUUAAAAGUUUCUUUUUGAACUUCUCCUGGUUAAUAUACAUGAACUUGAUUAUCCUUUCAACAUGUACUUAUAUUAGCUUGUGGGGUUCUUUUUAAAACUAAUCUCUUGAACUUUUUAAAAGAAUGUUCCAUUGAUGUUUGUGAUCAUUGCUUGUAAGUAUUCAUGUGGACUUUAAAACAAUGACUGUUCUUGUAGGAGGUUUGAAGAUUAUCAUGGAGCAAAUUGAAGAGAUUAGUUUCGUGAAAAUAAAUGUGAUCUUUUGGUCAGGAUUUUGCAUGAUCCAUAGCCAUCAGUGGCAACAGGCGAGCAGUUCAAGGCCUACUGCGUGAGUUGUCCAUUGUCUUCUAUGCGUGAGCUUGUUGUCUCUACACAUAUAGCAUCAGAGUAUCUCCUCCCCUUGCCGCACACACAUGACGGGCGGUCAAGCUAGUGUUGUUCGUGAUUACUGGUCGUGACUCUUACGUUGUCAUUGGACAAAGAAUUUCAUUUUCCUUAACGCUCGGUAAGGAAAAUGAUCGUUCAACUUGAAUUAUGUUUUGGACUGAUCUUUCAUAUAGAAGAUUCAGAAAGUUUUGUUCCUGAAAAUGCACUUAUUUGGAGUAUGCCAAUAUAUAUGUAUUUCUGAAUUUCGCUCUUGAAUAACAGUUCAACAUGUAUUACACCAUCAAUUCAUAAUGGAAAGGCAACAAACAAUUCGAUACUUGUGUGUUAAAAACGUAACAGUAUAGAGAAACUUUCGUAGUGGUUCGAUGGAAUAAAUCGCAUCAGUACUGACUUGGAUCCGUUCUUGCC